rnacentral:rRNA from 1 species
GGGUGGCGACCGGCGCACGGGUGCGUAACGCGUAUGCAACCUACCUUAUACUGGGGUAUAGCCCGGAGAAAUUCGGAUUAGUCCCCCAUGGUAUUAUUGGGUCGCAUGGUUUGAUAAUUGGAGGUUACGGUAUGAGAUGGGCAUGCGUCCUAUGAGCUAGAUGGUAAGGUAACGGCUUACCAUGGCUACGAUAGGUAGGGGGGCUGAGAGGGUGGUGCCCCACACUGGUACUGAGACACGAGACCAGACUACUACGGGAGGCAGCAGUGAGGAAUAUUGGUCAAUGGGCGCAAGCCUGAACCAGCCAUGCCGCGUGCAGGAAGAAUGCCCUAUGGGUUGUAAACUGCUUUUAUUUAGGAAUAAACUCUUGUACGUGUACAAGCCUGAAGGUACUAAAUGAAUAAGCACCGGCUAACUCCGUGCCAGCAGCCGCGGUAAUACGGAGGGUGCAAGCGUUAUCCGGAAUCAUUGGGUUUAAAGGGUCCGCAGGCGGAUUUAUAAGUCAGUGGUGAAAUCCUAUCGCUUAACGAUAGAACUGCCAUUGAUACUGUAAGUCUUGAAUUCGGUCGAAGUGGGCGGAAUGUGUAGUGUAGCGGUGAAAUGCAUAGAUAUUACACAGAACACCGAUAGCGAAGGCAGCUCACUAGGCCUGGAUUGACGCUCAGGGACGAAAGCGUGGGGAUCAAACAGGAUUAGAUACCCUGGUAGUCCACGCUGUAAACGAUGAUUACUCGUUUUUCGGCGAUAUAAUGUCGGAAGACUAAGCGAAAGUGAUAAGUAAUCCACCUGGGGAGUACGAUCGCAAGGUUGAAAACUCAAAGGAAUUGACGGGGGCCCGCACAAGCGG